UACGGGGGGGGCAAGCGUUGUUCGGAAUUAUUGGGCGUAAAGCGCGCGCAGGCGGUCCUUUAAGUCUGAUGUGAAAGCCCACGGCUCAACCGUGGAGGGUCAUUGGAAACUGGGGGACUUGAGUGCAGAAGAGGAGAGUGGAAUUCCACGUGUAGCGGUGAAAUGCGUAGAGAUGUGGAGGAACACCAGUGGCGAAGGCGACUCUCUGGUCUGUAACUGACGCUGAGGCGCGAAAGCGUGGGGAGCGAACAGG
rnacentral:rRNA from 1 species